AAGUCGUAACAAGGUUUCCGUAGGUGAACCUGCGGAAGGAUCAUUAACACGUAUCCACGUUUAUCAACCAACUGUGAACUUGUUUUCAACAACAACAAACAUACUUCAAUCACCCCCACUUUUGCUAGUUGACUUUUAUACUGUUUUAUGAUGUGUUCAUGCGUUGACGCGCUUGUUUCAUUUUCAUACGACACGUUUAAAUACUAUUUGAACGUUAAAAUUACAACUCUUAGCAAUGGAUAUCUUGGUUCUC
rnacentral:misc_RNA from 1 species